CCUACGGGUGGCAGCAGUGGGGAAUAUUGCACAAUGGGGGAAACCCUGAUGCAGCGACGCCGCGUGAGUGAAGAAGUAAUUCGUUACGUAAAGCUCUAUCAGCAAGGGAGAAAAUGCCGGUACCUGAGUAAGAAGCCCCGGCUAACUACGUGACAGCAGCCGCGGUAAUACGUAGGGGGCAGGCGUAAUCCGGAUUUACUGGGUGUAAAGGGGGCGUAGACGGUGCGCCAAGUCUGGAGGGAAAUGCCGCAGCUUAACUGCGGAACUGCUUUGGAAACUGGCGAACUAGAGUGCGGGAGGGGUAAGCGGAAUGCGUAGUGUAGCGGUGAAAUGCGUAGAUAUUAGGAGGAACUCCGGUGGCGAAGGCGGCUUACUGGACCGUAACUGACGUUGAGGCUCGAAAGCGUGGGGAGCAAACAGGAUUAGAUACCCGAGUAGUC
rnacentral:rRNA from 1 species